AAAAAAAAAAUACUGUAUUUAAUAGUAUUAAUACUUUUUUAAGUAUGAAUUCAUCGCGUAAAAAUCCAGAAUAUAAGUGGGGUUGUCAAGCAGAAGCAGGGAUUCAAUCUAAUAACCCACCUGCACCAACUAUUGAUAAUUCGUGGGGAAAAAAAAGGCAUGAGGAGGCAUCUGAUACAGCAUGGGAUAAAAUGGAACCUGCUGCUGCUGCUGCUGCUGCUGCUGAUGCUGCUUGUAUAGCAGUACCCAUUGAUAAUUCGUGGGAUGAAAUGUCACCUGUUCCAACUUAUAAUCCUCAACUGUAUAUAACUGCAAACAUGGUUCUUAGACGUCCUCCUCCUAAAAUGUCAAGAAGCGAAAAAAGAAAAUUCAAACUAGAUGAACGAAAGAGGAUGCAGACACUUGGACGGAUGUAAUUUUUUUAAAUAAUUGGUUAAAUUGUAUUUUAAAUAAAAAGCAAUAUUCAAACA